GUCUACUGCUAUGUUACUCUGAACAAGACCGAUUCCAUCUGAUCUUAAAAUCAAGCAGGGUCAGGCCUGGUUAGUACUUGGAUGGGAGCUCACCUAAGAAGCCCAGGUGCUGUAGGCA
rnacentral:rRNA from 1 species